UACGUAGGGGUGCAAGCGUUGUCCGGAAUUAUUGGGCGUAAAGAGCUCGUAGGCGGUUUGUCGCGUCUGCUGUGAAAACCCGAGGCUCAACCUCGGGCCUGCAGUGGGUACGGGCAGACUAGAGUGCGGUAGGGGAGAUUGGAAUUCCUGGUGUAGCGGUGGAAUGCGCAGAUAUCAGGAGGAACACCAAGUGGCGAAGGCAGAUCUCUGGGCCGUAACUGACGCUGAGGAGCGAAAGCGUGGGGAGCGAACAGG
rnacentral:rRNA from 1 species